GACGAACGCUGGCGGCGUGGAUUAGGCAUGCAAGUCGAACGGUAUCAUCCUUUCGGGGGUGAGAGAGUGGCGAACUGGUGAGUAACACGUAGGUUAUCUACCCUCAAGACGGGGACAACCCAGGGAAACUUGGGCUAAUACCGGAUGUGAGCAACUUUUAGUUGUUUGAAAGGUGGCGUAAGCUGUCGCUUGGGGAUGAGCCUGCGUCCUAUUAGUUAGCUGGUGAGGUAACGGCUCACCUAGGCAAUGAUAGGUAGGCGGCCUUAACGGGUGGUCGCCCACACUGGGAUUGAGAUACGGCCCAGACUCCUACGGGAGGCAGCAGUCGAGAAUAGUCUACAAUGGUCGGAAGACUGAUAGUGCGACGCCGCGUGAACGAUGAACUCCCGUUCGGGGUGUAAAGUUCUUUUAUAUGUGAGCAGUGCUUCUUAUAUUAACAGUAUGGGGAGAGAGAUAUUAGCAUAUGAAUAAGCAACGGCUAACUCCGUGCCAGCAGCCGACGGUAAAACG
rnacentral:rRNA from 1 species